UCUCCGUCUCUCGGAAACAAUCGGCUUCGCGUCCAGCGAGCUAAUUAGCUUAGCUCCGCUACGACUCCGCUAGAGGUUACUCACUUACCAGGAAUAAUUGCGCUAAAAACUCCCUGCUUGCAUUUACCAUGAUCCGCGGUCUUCACCGGACUCUCGUCAACGGCCUUUCGCGGAGACGCUGGCGAUGGAAGUAAAAUGUUCUGGUUAAAAAGUACAGUUAAAAGAGGUAAGGCUGUGCUGUGCUCAGCUGUGUCUCACUGGUUUGUUUGAAUACAUUGGUCGCAUCCUUUAAUGGCGGCCACAGGGACACAACUCUACUCUACUCUACUCUACUCGGCUCCGAUUGGCAGCGCUGCGACUCGAUAGAAAGAGGAAAGAGUCUGUGCUGUACUCUAUAAAGCUCCAGAAGAGUUGACUCAACAUUAGAGCUGUCAACUGCUUUUAGCGAGAUUCUCGAUCUUUUAGAAAAAAUACUAUUCUAAAUUUGAUCAUAAUGUGGAAUGUGUAGUUUCUAUUGUUACAUUUUUACUUUUUUAUUUAUAAUACUGUACUUUUAUAUGUUAUGUAUCUAUUUUUUAUUUAAACUUUUUAAAUUAUUAUUAUUAAUCCUCAAUAACGAGAUCCAUUCAUUCAUUCAUAUUUUUCUAAACCUUUCCACAGACUCCCUUGAGUCCCCUUGGAAGUUCCCUGACUGUCAUGUGGAGUUGCAGUAUUUUUACAAUAAAGUAAUUAAAUAAAUAAAAUUGUAUUCUUUCCACACAA